CCUACGGGAGGCAGCAGUGGGGAAUAUUGGGCAAUGGGCGCAAGCCUGACCCAGCAACGCCGCGUGAAGGAAGAAGGCUCUCGGGUUGUAAACUUCUUUUAUCAGGGACGAAGCAAGUGACGGUACCUGAUGAAUAAGCCACGGCUAACUACGUGCCAGCAGCCGCGGUAAUACGUAGGAGGCAAGCGUUAGCCGGAUUUACUGGGUGUAAAGGGCGUGUAGGCGGGAAUGCAAGUCAGAUGUGAAAACCAUGGCCUGAACCUGUGUCCUGCAUUUGAAACUGUUUUUCUUGAGUACUGGAGAGGCAGACGGAAUGCCUAGUGGAGCGGUGAAAUGCGUAGAUAUUAGGAGGAACACCAGUGGCGAAGGCGGUCUGCUGGACAGCAACUGACGCUGAGGCGCGAAAGCGUGGGGAGCAAACAGGAUUAGAUACCCCAGUAGUC
rnacentral:rRNA from 1 species